rnacentral:lncRNA from 1 species
GCCAUCAUGUCUGGCUUUAAUAGUUAUUUCUUGAUAGAAAUGAAUUGAUGUUUUAAGAUUUGUAAAUAUAGAUUCAUAAGCCUUGUGCUAACAUAAUUUUUAAUUAACUUUAAUGUUAAAAAUAACUAAUAAUAAGUUUACUGUAAAAAUAUAGAAAUGAAAAGCAACAGUAAUCUCAAGGUUUAGAUUGUGUACCUUUCACGUUGUUAUUCCAUACAUAGAACUCCAGUUCCUAACCUUUGACAUUCAAAUAAAUCCCUGUGAAUUAACGUCAUCAUUCCUCAUUAGUGUUUUAUGCCCGAACUUUCUGUGGCUUACUCUUAAUUCUUAUCUGUGUUGUUUAUCAUUUCUGUGUAAAUAGUCUUAUCUGUCUAUCUGCCUGUCAGAGUCAAGGUCUCAGUAGCCUAAACCAGCCUUGAACUCACUACAUAGCUGAGAGGCUAACCUUAAGUAGUCCUGCUUUCACCUCCCAGGUACCAUGAUUACAGGCCUGACUCCAUUCCACGCAGCUUUCUGAAAUGUCUUAUAAAUAGCAGAACCUAUCUAGAUAGUCUUCCCCUGGCACCCCGACCCAGGACACUUAUCCUUGGUUAGCAUCCUCCUUCCUUUGCAUAUGACAUUCUUCCCUUGCCACCCUCUCUCUUGAUACAGACGUGGCUUCUGGCUCUUUGGAUAAAUGAUUUAUAACUAUGAAUCAUAUGUUUAAAAUGGAAUAUGAAAUAACUUUGAUUGUUGGCGGGGGCCCUUUGGUACCAGCAUGCCCUUUUCCCCAUUGUUCUUCAAGAAGCUAGUGUUGACUUCAUGUAUUGACUGAUGAGACCCUUCCAUAGCCAGACGGAGACUGACAAAUGAGAGCGUUCUUAAAAGACAGCAAGUGCUUGUGGCUUACUCCCAAGCUAGCAUACCAAAAAGGAGGAGCCCAUCAGUGUGUGCCCGGGCUGGUAGAUACAAGAUUAGUGCCUGAGUUAGGGCAAUCCUAGGAUCCACUUGUGUCUAGUAGUUUAGUAAUUUUGAUUACCUGGGAAAACACAAAUCUAUUAUUAAUAACAACAUUAAUCUUAAUGUCACUGAAAAUUUAAUGAAAGCCAAUUUGGUAACUAACAAUUCAGCAUGCUAGUUGAAUGGUCAUGGGAUUUCUAAGUGUUUUCUUUGUGAUAAAUGAAAAUACUUAGAAAAUGGCAGUCCCCUCUAUGUUCAUCUUAGACAGGCCAUGCAAUCUCAUUGGUUGAAGCUGAGAAGGAAUAUUUAGAUGUUGGAUUUUUGCUUCCUUUUCUUCAGCCUUGUAUCUUUGUCUGGAUUGUCUAAAAAGGUUGCAAAGGAAAUAAAUAUUUGUGGUGACUGGGAAGACUGGGUGUUACCAUAGCUGUAUUAUUAGAAUGUUCAGUUACAAACAGUGGCACGACACUGCCAGAAACAAGACAAUGCAAAAACAUGUUCCUCUAUUUUGAAACUGGUAGAAUCUCCGGAUGGGUGGCUCAGGUUAUCACCCCGGCCCCGGGCUACACUCAAGGAAUAGAAAGAAUACCAGACUGGGUCUGAUGUUUCUUACAAUGUGCUUUUCAUUAUCCUGUACUCUGUACACUGUAACUCACUAGAACCUUGGAGUGCUGAGUCUGAGUGGUGUCUGAGCUGGGUUUUAUGGCAGUACCUAUGAGCAGAGCAAAAAUACGAUGACUUAAAAGUAUGUUCUGAGUGACUUCUCUUUCCAAAUGAUACAGGUAUUAAAACCUAUUUCUAAUUUCUACCUACCUGCUAAGUAAAGUUUCUGAAUCACCUUGAACUAGUCUCUGCUUUUCCCAUUCACUGAGUCACUUGCCCACUCUGUAUUUUAUUCAUAGCUCUGUGGUUUCGUGGGGAAUCUCAUUCUCGUUAUAUCAUCUUUUUUUAAUUUACCAUCCAAAUACUAGUGGUGUCCACAGUGAUCUGAACUUUUUGCUUAACCUACUCAGAAUUAAAUU